AUCCGAAUGGCGCCUUAAAGAAAAAUGGACAUACAUAAUUCAUGAGCUGCCACAGCAUAAUCCAUUUUAAAAGGUUACAGUGACUAUGCAUUGAACAAAAUAAGCUCGCAGGAAAUGAGUUUUAACAAAACCAUGCAUUCCCAUCCAUCCACUCUUACAAAGGAUCUUAAGUUUAAUGUAGUAGAAAGAGUGGAAUUGGUAAACAAAGAGGCACAGGCACGAACAUUGAAAUGAAAGCAAUUUCUUUCUUCACGGCCAAACA
rnacentral:misc_RNA from 1 species